rnacentral:lncRNA from 1 species
GAACAUUCUCCCUAUCUAUUCCUGGAUUAGAAACUCUCCUAGUUUCCCUCUUCCACUCCAUGACAGUCAAAAUGAUCAGUGUGGGUGGUGAAGGAGAAAAAGAAUUCAGGAUGGGUACUAACUAGGAGAAGAAAGGAAACCAGCCAGAAUGGGGGAAAGACGAGGAACAGGUCAAUGGUAGAGGAGCCAAGAGAGGGUCUCCUUGAAUGGCCUGGAGUUCAUUAUGUACACCAAACUGUCUUCAAGAUCACGAAGAUCUACUCGCUUCUGCUUCCCAUGUGCUGGGAUUUAAGAGCCCUCAUCCAGUGGUUGAUGGAAGCAGAGGCAGACACCCACAGAUAUACACUGAACUGAACUCUGGAACCUAGUUGCAGAGAGGGAAGAAUGAAGAUCAAAGGGCUCAGUACCAGGCUGGUGAAACCACAGAAACAGCUGGCCUGAACAAGGGGGAGCACAUGGACCCCAGACUUCUGUCUGGGAGGCAAGCACAGGACUGAUGCAGACUCCUGAACAUGGAUGUCAAUGAGGAGGCCUCUGUACUUUAGGGGGCCCCUGGAAGUGGAUUACUAUUUUUCCCUGGUGUAAGAAGGGACUUUGAGAGCCCAUCCCAAGCCUCUGCCUGAACACAUGGGGGAGGGCCUAGGUCCGGCCCAGGAUGGGUGGUAGACUUUG